AAUGUCCAUUAAUUUGGUGUUGCAGGAAUCUGACUGUUACUUUGAAAAAAUUAGAGUGUUUAAAGCAGCUACGCUUGAAUACAUUAGCAUGGAAUAAUGAAAUAGGACGUUCGAUCCUAUUUUGUUUGGUUUCUAGGAUUGACGUAAUGAUUAAUAGGGAUAGUUGGGGGCAUUAGUAUUCAAUUGUCAGAGGUGAAAUUCUUUGGAUUUAUUGAAGACUAACUACUGCGAAAAGCAUUUUGCCAAGGAUGUUUUCAUUAAUCAAGAACGAAAGUUAGGGGAUCGAAGACGAUCAGAUACCGUCGUAGUCUUAACCAUAAACUAUGCCGACUAGGGAUCGGAUGAUGUUAAUUUUUUAAUGACUCAUUCGGCGCCUUACG
rnacentral:rRNA from 1 species